UGUGUGUGUGUGUGUGUGUGUGUGUGUGUGUGUAGUAUAUAUGUGUGAACAGGAAUGCAUGGUGUGUGUGUGUGUUAUAUAUGUGUGAACAGGAAUGCAUUGUGUGUGUGUGUGUGUGUGUGUGUGUGUAGUAUAUAUGUGUGAACAGGAAUGCAUGGUGUGUGUGUGUGUGUGUGUGUGUGUGUGUGUGUAGUAUAUAUGUGUGAACAGGAAUGCAUGGUGUGUGUGUGUGUGUGUGUGUGUAGUAUAUAUGUGUGAACAGGAAUGCAUGGUGUGUGUGUGUGUGUGUGUGUGUAGUAUAUAUGUGUGAACAGGAAUGCAUGGUGUGUGUGUGUGUGUGUGUGUGUGUGUGUGUAGUAUACAUGUGUGAACAGGAAUGCAUGGUGUGUGUGUAUGUGUGUGUGUGUGUAGUAUACAUGUGUGAACAGGAAUGCAUGGUGUGUGUGUGUGUGUGUGUGUGUGUGUG
rnacentral:lncRNA from 1 species